ACGUCAAAUCAUCAUGCCCCUUACGUCUAGGGCUACAGGCGUGCUACAAUGGCUGGUACAAAAAGAUGCAAUAUAGUGAUAUGGAGCAAAUCUCAAAAACCAGUCUCAGUUCGGAUUGGAGUCUGCAACUCGACUCCAUGAAGUUGGAAUCGCUAGUAAUCCUGAAUCAGAAUGUCAGGGUGAAUACGUUCCCGGGUGUU
rnacentral:rRNA from 1 species